AUUUUAAUUUUAUUUCCACCACCCCCCAAUCUCCUUGCCUCCCUCGCUGAAGCCCUAGCUCCAGCCGCUGCAAACUUCAACACCUCCCGCUGCCACGAGAUUCAACGCUUUCUGCCGCCUCCGAGUCACCGUGCAUCGGAGUCCUAGCCACACCACCCAUCCUUCGCACGGACUAGAGUCGAGUCGUCCCACGCCAACAGUCCAUUGUCCACACCGUUUGCAAGACUCAGUUGCGCGUGUCGUCAGCCUCGCCGACCUUCAACUGAAGCUAGCCUUUGCACGUCGUCCCUCACCUCGGCUUCUUCACGCGUCAUUCCAGCCGUGAGCGCCAGCUGUCUGUAGUCAUCCACUUAGCCCCUGUCUCGCCUCGCCGACAUCUUCUGAUCAGUCGUCGGGUCCCGCACAACUUGACGGAAUUUGGAUCUUGGAUCGAGGUUUCAAGGUGUCAAGAACUACUAUCCAGCAACAUAAGGUUCCGGAGUUAUGACUUUUGGUAUGUUUUGGUUUUCAUUCUUCAAAGAUUUUGGUUAUCAAAUGGAUAUUCGGUCAAAUUGUGGAUUAAAUCUUGAUUGUGGAAGAUUAAUUUGAGAUUUCAAGGAGAUUUGGAGCCACCGUCCGACAAUAUCAAAAGGGUUUUUUCACGCUUUGGUAAGUGUAUUAAGCCUUAGAACCAUUGAUUUAAAUAUAGUGUGUUGGAAUUUGGAGGUUCUACCCAUUACUAUUAAAUUUGCAUAGUCUGAGGCAUUUGUUGGGAGAUUGGGAGCAAUUUUUUAAACAAGCUAUACUUUGGGUAAAGAAUAUUUGAAUUUGUUGGGAUUUAUUUUGGCAAUAUUUGGAUAAUUUUGUUUGAAAUUAGGCCACUAAUGUGGAAAUUGAAAUGGGUUAACAUUUAGGGAUUUGUUCAAGAAUCCUACUCAAGAUAAAGAGAGGACUUUGAAUUGCUAAUUUUCUUGGACUUAAUUUGAGGUGAGUAAUCUUACUACUAAAACUGUCGUAAUGCCAGGUAAGGAUAAUUAUGAUUUAUUGAUAUUUAUGUAUGCCUUCAUUGACUGAGGUUUGAAAGGACUAGAGCCAGGUAUUGAUAAUUAUAAUUUAUUGAGGAUAUAUUGAUGGUUUGACGUUUAUGUAUGCCUUGCUGGCAUGAAGGUUUAAAAGACUAGAUGCGCAUAGAGAUGUUUGAAUGCUAGCAUCAUUUGGGUAUAUUAUUAUUCUGGGAGAUCCUGCUGAAUCUAAGGAUGAUGAGAUGUAUAUGUAUGUUAUAGAGGUAUGAUGACAAAAUCUAUAUGUGUGUUAUAAAAACAUGAUGAUGAGAUGUAUAUGUAUGUUAUAGAACCAUGAUGAUGAG